rnacentral:tRNA from 1 species
GCCCGCGUAGCUCAAUUGGAUAGAGCGCCAGGCUUCGAACCUGGGUCUUGUGCGUGUUCGAGUCGCGUCGCGGGUA